rnacentral:tRNA from 1 species
UAGCUCAGUAAGGAUAGAGCACCGGGCUUUUAACCCGGGGGUCCCGGGUUCAAACUUGGA